AACCGAACGCUGGCGGCGUGCCUAACACAUGCAAGUCGAGCGGGAAAGUGGUUUCGGCCAUGAGUACAGCGGCGCACGGGUGAGUAACACGUGGGUAAUCUGCCUUACUGAUUGGGAUAACCUGCCGAAAGGCGGGCUAAUACCGGAUACGUUCCUUGGGGGUUCGCCCUUGGGGAAGAAAAGGAGCUGAAGAAGUUCCGCAGUAAGAUGAGCUCGCGGCCCAUCAGGUAGUUGGUGAGGUAACGGCUCACCAAGCCUAGGACGGGUAGCUGGUCUGAGAGGAUGAUCAGCCACACUGGAACUGAGACACGGUCCAGACUCCUACGGGAGGCAGCAGUGGGGAAUUUUGGUCAAUGGGCGAAAGCCUGAACCAGCAACGCCGCGUGGGUGAUGAAGGCCUUCGGGUUGCAAAGCCCUGUCGGGAGGGACGAAACCUUGGGUUAACAACCUGAGCUGACGGUACCUCCAAAGGAAGCACCGGCUAACUUUGUGCCAGCAGC
rnacentral:rRNA from 1 species